AGAGCCUCAAUGUUCUGCUUUACAAUAGGGCUUUUCACCAGAUUCUCAGCAUUUGCACUGAGUCAAUACUAAAGGUCUGGGACCUAGAAACAGGAUCGCAAAUAUAUCAAAUAGAAGAUGCACAUGGGCUGAAUAUUGAGGUGACCUGUGCAGCCAUUGAAAGAAAUGGGGUUUAUCUUGCUACUGGGGCAUGUGAUGGAACAGUGAAAAUCUGGGAGUUUGAAAGCGGGCAAGAAGUUAAGGCUUUGCCUUUAGCACAACACAGCAAUGAUGAGCAUCGUAUGCUGAAGAUAGUAUAUCUGAAGGCUGAUGAGGGUCAACAUGCAGUUAUUGUUUUGGAGCAGAGAGGGAAGAUAAAAAUCAUUCAGGGUGACUCAACUCAAACAGAUCUGUAUGUCACAUGGGUGCUUCCUGAGAUAGUGCCAUUUCCACGAAGGAAUCCAGUUGUGUAUCUGUCCCUGAAGCCUGCCUCCUUAAACACACAAGAUUUUUUCCCAGAGAUUCGGCUUCUGUGUAACACCAGUUGCAUGAAAAAUGACACAGAGACUUUUUUAUCUUCUGUGGAUAUUAAGUGUUUUGAUGUUUUAAAAGUAGAAGGAGGCAGAUUGAUAGCUACAGGAAGUGCAAAUGGUGAAAUAAAUUUGUGGGAUUUUGAAUCUGCCUCUGUGAAAUGCCUG
rnacentral:lncRNA from 1 species